GGGUGCGACCAUACCAGCACUAAUGCACCGAAUCCCAUCAGAAGUCUGCAGUGAAGCGUGCCUAAGCGAGAGUAGUACUAGGAUUGGUGACCUCUUGGGAAGUCCUCAUGUUGAACCCC
rfam:Corchorus capsularis cultivar CVL-1 contig15105, whole genome shotgun sequence.